GACGUAGGUGGCGAACGUUAUCCGGAAUCAUUGGGCGUAAAGGGUGCGUAGAUGGCCUGAUAAGUUAGCAGUGGGAAAUCGAGGCUCAACCUCGUGGAAGCUGGUAAUACUGUUAGGCUCGAGUGCAGGAGAAGUUAACGGAACUCCAUGUGGAGCGGUAAAAUGUGUAGAUAUAUGGAAGAACAUCAAUAACGGCGAAGGCAGUUAACUAUUCUGUUACUGACAUUGAGGCACGAAAGCGUGGGGAGCAAAACGG
rnacentral:rRNA from 1 species